GCUGGUCGAGGAGAGCUGGAGUUUGUUGGCUGUGUUGUGAAAGCGUUGGUGCUGUGAGGGGCUGCCCACUGGGAAUCACUGAGAAGGGAUGGAACUUUUGUAACAAGAAGACAACAGCAUAACACAGCUCUUGAGCCUCAGAGCAGCUGAUGCCUGCAGGAAAACAGGAUUUAUUGCUGAUACAAAUCUCUUGCAAGCUAUAUUUAAGUUACUGGCCAUGGAGUUCAUUCCAUCUUCUGUUGAAGGGUGCAUGAACCUGUGCUCUCUGUCUCCUGGAAUGACAGCUGUUGAGACCAAGCCAACUUCUCCCAGGCUACUAAGGAAGAUCUCUGGAUCCACUAAACCCAGAAGAAGGAAAAAUAUAUCCAGCCUGGGAUAUUUAAGGCAAGCACUGUUGGUCAUGCCAUGCCACAUCACUGUCAGUAGACCUUUGGAGUUGCUUCCCAGAGUAGAGGAUGAGGAAGACACUUCCUCAGAAGACCAGGGACAUGCUCUUUCUAAACUGAUAAAACUCCUUCAGUUUUUCCUUAAAACUCCAUUAAACUCCUGCAGAGUUGGGUGGUCUGAAUUCCUUCUACUGUCCAGGGUAGCUGCCUCUUGAGUUAGCCAAGUUAAUUCUGCUUGAAGGGUUGUCUUGCCUCUGAAAAAGGGCUUGCUUCUUUUGGUGAAUCAGACUCAACUUUUGUAGAACAAAGCAGGGAAGCUCUGAAAAUGUUCAUGCAGCAAUUCUCUCCCUUGCUCUUAUCUGAUAGACCUGCAGUGCAGCAGGAAGCUACAGAAGUUCCCUCUGCUUGGGGGCUGUGUACCUUAGGGAUUCUUUGUGAUCUGGCUCAUUCAACCUUGAAAGGUUUGCUCAGAAAAAUUCUACUGGGUUGUCUUGUACACUUUCAUGUGCAGAGACACAGUUCUUACCCUCAUUAACAAAUAUGAACUGUGACUUUAUAUUAAUACAUUUAGGGAUUGAAGAGAUAUUCCAACUCUUGCCUGCGUUAUACAGAACUAUGCUGCAAAACUGAGAGAAUGGAGGUGCUUUAUCAGGUGAAAUUUGUGGACUUUGUGUGGAGAAGAUAUCUUACAAGGAUGUGGCUGCUAAUAUAUCUGAUACUUGGAUAUUGCAACAGCUUUCAGGAGGGAGGAAUUUAGACUCGGUGUAAAACCCUGACUGAAAUGGAAAACAAACCUUUUGAGAUCUAGGAUCCUGCCUCUACUUUGCCAGGUCUGUGAAUGUUUAACUAACAAGGAAAAAUACCUUCCUCCUUUUGUGAACAUUUUAAAGGAGGCUGGUUGUUAUUGCCUGGAGUAAAGGAAGUAAGUUUAUGGCUGUCUUGUUUUCCAUCCCUUUCUUGAUAACUCUUAUCAAAGAGCAUUUGACACAUGUGGGACUCAGCAAGAAAACUUCAGACAUUGUUGGUUUUCUGCUGCUACCCAUGUAUCAGGGAAGUGGCACAUUGACACUGAGUGACAGAUGAACUUGCCUGUAGCAAAAUGCAGCUGCUCACAGAUAUGUAAAAAUGAGGCAGCAGCAUAAGUGGCCUGUUAGGAGAAAACUCCAAAAGCCCUCGAACAUCCCUGGUGCUAUCUGACCUAUGCAACUGGUCAAUAUUGGAUGUUUGUUCUUUAUGAGUUAUUUGCUUGGCCCACAUGAAAUGUGUUCUAGGUGACAAACAUAACUGAACACCAGCUUUCUACAGGUGUACUGCAAGUCUGUGAAGAAAUGGUCUAUCAUGACUGAAAUAGUGCUGGAUGCCUAUAGCAUUCUUUUAGGAUAACUCAACUCUGGUUUUCACUGAUUUAUUUUUGAGAGUCAUAAUGCAUUCAGUUGUAACACAUCUCAUACACUUAACAUAAUCCAACCAUACACUAGAAAGUGUCAUGAAAAUUGAAAACACCUAAAAUACUUCAUAUAAUAAAAUAUUAUCAGGUACUGGUUAAUUUAAAGGCUGAAGAAUAGAAGUGUGAAUCUAAUUUUAUUUUCUAAGUGAAAAUUAAUAUUUAUUGCCUCUAGUAACAAAAGACAAGUCUGAUCUCAAUUUAAUGGACAUUAUCAGAAGACUCUGAAAUGUCAGCCUCCAAUGAAUUUAGUGUGAUAAGUUCAGCCACUAUUUUUUGACAAUAUGAAACCAAACCCAAUAUCUCAUUCUCCUAGGGGAAAGAAAAGAGAAAAAUUUGAACCAAAAGAAAUGCAAUCUGCCCUAUACUGAGGAACUGUACCAAAUCAAGCAGCUCCCUCACAGGACUGCUAUUGUUUAGUCCAGAUUUUAUCUAGGAGUUGUGUCAGUGCUGUGUCUUCACGUUCUUAAUUGUGGUGGUAUUUCUGUUUGAGUAGCCUUUGUGGAUGGCUAGAAAGCAAAGGGGACCAUGUUUUUGCACCAGAAGACAACUUUCUGUGAUCAGAGAACUGGACUGGCAGAAACUGCCCACUCAAAUAAUCACCCCCAUGGGGCAUAAGUGCAUCUAUGGAAAGAACUCAGGGAGGGAGAGGUUCUUUUAAUGCCCUGAUGAACCAGCCAUGGUUAUAAGGAAAUAGUUGUUCAGAGUGCUGUCAGAGUGAAGCAUAAUGUUCUUCAGCUUCUGGUAUUUGUUAUGUCCUAGUAAAUAUUCUGAUAAGGACACAAGGCACAUUUUUAACAGCUUAAUAUCUCUUUCUGCUUUAUUUCUCUGCUUUUUGAAAUGGAGCUACUUAUCAUGUGAGUUAAUUAAUUUUUAAAGUCUUAGCCAGUAGUAGCUUCAUAUCUCACUUUGAAACUAAAUUCCAUUAUAAAAGUGCUGUUUCAAACUUAUGAGUCUGAAGUUUUUAAUCUCUCUUCCCUCCUCCUUUAAGUGCCACAGCUGCUAUAUGGAUUGCUUUCUUCUCUUCAGUUCUUAAUGAUGGUUUCUGAGGCAAACAUUAUUUUUGAACCAAAAAUAACUCAAAGUAAAUUUGGCUUAAUGUAAUACUUGUAUAUAUUGCUAAGUCAAAGAGGUUACAACAUUGAUUUCAGCAUUAUCAGUACAUGUCUUUCUUAAACUCUUUCCCAAUUUCUGUUUGAAGAAAAUAAAUUGUAGUUGAGCAAACUUGUUUAUGAGUUUUUGAGGUUAAAUAUUUUUGGAGCUGUGUCUUGUUGAUUUGAAUAGGGUUUUUUGAACAGUGGCCUACUUGAAAUAACAUUUACUGUUGAGAAUCAUUUAUCAUUUCCUUGGCGAAUGAAAAUGUGUGUUGCACUUUUGAGCACAUCUCCAUUUGGUUACUUGCAUUUCCAAUUUUCUUUUAAAACCACAGAUUUAAUUAAAAAAAAAAUCUUUCUUUUAAAACCACAUUCAGAUUUAC